ACACACACACACACACACACAAAACAAUCAAUGAAACAUACAUUCACACAACAGCGUAGCAAUAUGUCAACUGAGAAAUUGCAUUGUAGACACAGAUCUGUGCAUUUCUAAGGGGGAACAAAACUGAAUGGUUCGGUUGUAAAAUGAAGACUGCGAAAGUAGCAAGGUUCCGUACAGGUGACGUUUUAGCGCCGAUUGCAGAAUAAAUUAUUACAGUUCGUACAUAAACUAUAUAUCUAUGUCAUCCUUAAGUUUCUCUCUUUAACCCCCGAUCUUAACAUAGACACGUCCUCUGUUUGUUUCAGUAAGUUUUGAGUAACGUUAAGUUUGCUCGUUGCGCCCACCGCGCUUGAAAAUGAACGGUGGGGAAGAAAUACAUCAAAACUUCAGUCUGAGAGGGAAGACAACUAGAGCAGCGAAAAUAUACAUUUCUAUUCCACUCAUGUUUCCCACAGUACUACAGCCUUUUUUAAAUGAAUAUUGUAUUAAUCACAAAUUGUUAAAUAUAUCACCUUUUGUUAAAUAAAUGCUUUGAAAUGGGGAUGUUAAAGCAUCGAUUGUUAAAGCACCUGAGACAGGCAGCAGAGAUAUUACUUUAUGAAGUUUUCACAUUGGUUAACCUUUAUUUAUUAUUAUUAAUCAGUGCAAAAUGAUUUGCCCCUUCGUCUUCUGCUUCUUCAGAAAGAUAUGGAAAUGAUGUUCACUAACCUUUCACAUGAUUCAUGCUUAACUCACAUGUCAUAAUUAAUAUCACGACAAAAUCAUGUUUUUAACUCGCAUGCGCCCUUUAUUAAAGCAGCAUUUUUUUUAUUUUAUUUUUUGCAGUUAAAAUAAAUAAAAAGUUCACUUUUGAUCAGUUGCAUGUCAAUUUUCGCCGAUAAAAUCCAGUUAUGAGCGCUGUACGGAACACCAUUAUAAGCCUGUAAGGAACACCGUUAUCUUCCGUACAGUGGCGGAGGUGGUACUUUUCCGCAGUUUUCUCAAAAACUAUUGGUCCUAAAGACAUCAAUCAAAGUGUAGACUGUAUAAUAAGUAUUCCCCCGGAAAAUGAGCACACAAACAUGCAUGUUUGUCUUUCAACAACGGAGGAGUGCUCGCUGGCGUGCGGUGAAAAGUGGACGGAACAUGGUCUUAUAGCUCUUGAUCUAACUGGUAACAUAACGCUACAGGAGAUGGACACAAAAUCACGCUACUGCCCAAGCUUUCAUGUUGUGUAGCUGAUGAGACAAGUAUAUGUAUCUCUGUUUCGGCUCCGCCCCUGCAGCCGGUUUAGUGUCUAGACUGCUCUAACAUCAGAGUGAAGAGAGAAGAAUGUGGAACUUGAUGAAUACGUUUGUUUUCCGCAUCGUUGUGAUCACUGUUUUAGCGCUGUGUUUUAGAGCUUGACGUACACUGGGAGAGAAGGGUUUGACAGGACUGACGAGGAGUCCUGUGUGCGUCAUGAUGUUUCCGCCAGCCGCUGCUCAGCUGUGUUUGAAUGUUGUUUGGUUCUAUUUUGCAUUGGUCUAUGUCUGUCAAUAUCUGUGCUUGAUCAGUUGCCUGCUGAUACGUGAGUUUUGAUCCAAUAAUAAACUAUUUCAAAUUGC